AUCCUCUCAGGAUGGCCCCUGGAGAGUUUCCAGUCCUCUACCAGUCUCGGCUACGGGAGGGAGAGUCGAGCAGAGGCCUGUCCGUUCCAUUCCUAGCGUGGCCAAAGGCUAGUGAGUGAAAGGCCAUCUGCUACAAGU